GCAGUGGUGGCUCAGUGGUGGAGCUCUCAUCUCCCAGGUGGGCGACCUGGGCUCCAAUCCUGGCCAAUGUA
rnacentral:tRNA from 1 species